ACACGAAAAAUACCGUUAAACUGUUAGUGCGCCGCCGUGCGAGUCUAUAAGAACGAAAUGAGACCACAAAUGUGUUAAGCUGGGCAGGCGAAGCAAAACGGGCAAAAAGUAUGGCUACAAAUUGAAAACACGGAAAAUUAACAAGAAAUUGCAAUAUACAAUACUCGUCGGCAUAAGGGCAACAGACGGAGUGGACUGUUGGGCGGACAAGAUAAAUGACGAGGCAACAACAAGUGAUAAAUAAUCGCAAACUGCAACUGUAAAUAAGUACAUACAUCCAUACACACACAUACGUAGAUGCAUGUGGUUUUACAUGCUUAUAUAAAUAUUUAUAACAAAUAACGCGGAAACGUCGUAACACGCCCAUAGCGAAAUCCAUAAAGUGUUGCAUACGAGGAAAAUACUCCUGGUCAAACAACAACAAAAAUAGCAGCGCAGACAGUGUUGCCAAGUGGCGCAAAGUGUAACAAUAAGUAACGUAACGUCCUUGGUAACGGCAAACGUUAAAACUGGAACAGGCAUAAAAAGAACAAACAGAAGGACGGGCAUACAGCGAAAAAAAGGUGUGCUACAAAAAUAUGGCAGCAGCAGCAGGAGCAGUGUCAACAUCGC